rnacentral:rRNA from 1 species
AACGUAGGACACAAGCGUUAUCCGGAGUUACUGGGCGUAAAGGGCGUGUAGGCGGAGGUGUAAGUCUAUUCUGAAAGCUCCUGGCUAAACUGGGAGAGGCGAAUGGAGACUGCAUAUCUAGAGUGAGGAAGAGGAAAGUGGAAUUCCACGUGUAGCAAUGAAAUGCGUAGAGAUGUGGAGGAACACCGAUGGCGAAGGCAACCCCCCUGGGCCUGUACUGACGCUCAUGCACGAAAGCGUGGGGAGCAAACAGG